rnacentral:rRNA from 1 species
UGAGGAAUAUUGGUCAAUGGCCGAGAGGCUGAACCAGCCAAGUCGCGUGAGGGAUGACGGCCCUACGGGUUGUAAACCUCUUUUGCCGGGGAGCAAAGAGCGGGACGUGUCCCGCCUCGAGAGUACCCGGAGAAAAAGCAUCGGCUAACUCCGUGCCAGCAGCCGCGGUAAUACGGAGGAUGCGAGCGUUAUCCGGAUUUAUUGGGUUUAAAGGGUGCGCAGGCGGAAGCGCAAGUCAGCGGUAAAAUUGAGAGGCUCAACCUCUUCCCGCCGUUGAAACUGCGUUUCUUGAGUGGGCGAGAA